rnacentral:rRNA from 1 species
GACGAACGCUGGCGGCGUGCUUAACACAUGCAAGUCGAACGGAAAGGCCCUGCUUUUGUGGGGUGCUCGAGUGGCGAACGGGUGAGUAACACGUGAGUAACCUGCCCUUGACUUUGGGAUAACUUCAGGAAACUGGGGCUAAUACCGGAUAGGAGCUCCUGCUGCAUGGUGGGGGUUGGAAAGUUUCGGCGGUUGGGGAUGGACUCGCGGCUUAUCAGCUGGUUGGUGGGGUAGUGGCUUACCAAGGCUUUGAAGGGUAGCCGGCCUGAGAGGGUGACCGGCCACACUAGAACUGAGACACGGGCCAGACUCCUGCGUGAGGCAGCAGUGGGCGACCUUCCGCAGUGGGCGGGAGCCUGACGGACCCACGCCGCGUGUGUCAUGACGGUCUUGGGAUCGUAAAACUCUGUUAUUAGGGAAGAACAAAUGUGUACGUAACUAUGCACGUCUUGACGGUACCUAAUCAGAAAGCCACGGCUAACUACGUG